rnacentral:sRNA from 1 species
GCUGGGCAUGGUGGCCCAUGCCUGUGGUCCCAGCUACUCAGGAGGCUGAGUCAGGAGGAUCAUUUGAACCCAUGAAUUCAAGACCAGCCUAGGCAAUGCAGCAGGACCUUGUCUCAA